GAUUUAGCGUAGGUGGAAACAUAGUAUAACAAUCUCUAACAAUAAAUCGUUCCUAAAUGAUUUGUAAAAAAUCCAACGAUUUCUAACAAUGACACUUCAACAAUAAUUUUUGACAUAACAACGAUCGUUGACUAUUGUUAGAAAAAGAACGCACCUCAGAACAUUUUUCAUGAAUUGUGAAAACGUAUUUAUUUCAGUGUGAACUCAAAUUAUACAGAAAUCCACGUAUGUUUUGUAUUUCAAAACAGAUAUUGGGAACUAAAUUGAUAGAAUAGUCGUACGCUAUGGUUUGAUGAGGAAUCAAUUGCUAACACCGAUCUCUAUGCCACUGUACCUACAUACCUACUUGUUUUCAAGAAAACUGAAGGAUGCAAGCCCUACGUUUCAUUUUGCAUGAACACCGAAAACGAAGUACCACCCCCAAAUUUUUUUUGCUCAUUCGAUAGAGCAUUGGCUGAAUAUCAUUACCCUGAUUUUUCGCACUCGCAAAAUUCACCUUUUAGCCGCCAUCUUGGAUUUUACUUUUCGUUGAAUAUCUCGAUUUCUAUUUAUCCUACAUAAAAGUUGUGUAUACAAGAAACGUAGGCAAUUAAAUUUCGCGUCUUUUAUGUUAAGAACACUUUUUCGAUAUUCUGACUAUUAAAAAAGUUACAAGGCAAAAAAGUAAAAAAACCGAAAAAAAUGACAAUUUUAAA